AGCUCCAAUAGCGUAUAUUAAAGUUGUUGCAGUUAAAAAGCUCGUAGUUGAAUUUCGGACGAGGACGUCCGGUCUGGCUUCUGGUCAGCACUGGACGGGCCGAGUCUUACUUCUAGGGAAGCGGCGUGCCCUUCACCGGGUGCGCCGGGGAACUAGGACGAUUACCUUGAGAAAAAUAGAGUGUUUAAAGCAAGCCGAUGCUUGAAUACGUUAGCAUGGAAUAAUAGAAUAGGACCUUGGUCUUAUUUUGUUGGUUUUGAGGACCACUGUCAUGAUGAAUAGGGACAGUUGGGGGCAUUAGUAUUCUGGCGUCAGAGGUGAAAUUCUUGGAUUGCCAGAAGACUAACUAGUGCGAAAGCAUUUGCCAAGGAUGUUUUCA
rnacentral:rRNA from 1 species